GAAUUGGUCCGCAUGACGGUGCCACAGCCUAAGAUCACCUCUCUCUUCCACACCGAAGAUCAGGUGGGUUAUAUUUGCAAAAGUAUAUUGGGUUAGUAAGCCCUCUCUUUUUAUACAAGCAAAUAUGGUUUAAAUUGUGAAUGCAUGCAAAUAUUUUGUUUGGUUGUUACAAGAACAAACGGAGUUUGUCCCCACAGAACAAACGGGGUCGUCCCCAAACGAUCGGCUCUAUCCCCGAUGGGGGCCAGGGUAGUGUACACUAGUAAGAAGUCUAGGUAUUGGAUUGAUUCGGCCGGGUCACUCAUACUUAGCACCAAGAAAGGUAACACCAAACCAGAAAGGCGCGCAAAGGUUAAAGGAGCUACGGCUCACAAGUAUUUCAGAAUUUAUAGUAAUUGUUUUUCAAGUAUUGCUAUAUUAUCUUACAGGCAUGCAUUUCACCAAGUAUCACAGUUCUUUGAAACCAGUUUAAAGAAAAAUGGGCAUUAACUUCACUAAGUGCGUUAGUACUCAACCCAAAGUUUUAAUUCAUUUCAGGUUAAUGGAGCCGGGCGCAACGGGGGCAAGGUGGUGGUGGUGGUCUGGAGCUGUCAAUAAGGUUUCUCGAUGAAAUUUAUUUCCCAUAACCUCGAUCACCAAACAUUUUAUUUUGUUGGUUACGCCCUGCGUGGCAAUUAUGAACUUGUUUACUGCUUUGCCUAAACAACUGAACAAUUGAGUUGCUCUUGGGCACUCAGACACCGUGAUAACGAACUCUCUGAACUUGACCGGAGUCCUCAUACUUCGUGUCAAGUCGGGUUUCCCUUUGAGCAGAACGAUUAAAGAUAGGUUCAUUAAUUCCGCUAAUUAACCAAGUUUUUCAAUCAAAAUAGUUAAGUUACUUACUUCCGCUAAAUAACCUUAAUAAUCACCAUCAAGUUCAGCGUGGCUGGCCCCUAGAUAAGUCGGGCCGUCACAUCAUCCCUUUUUUUUGUUGCCUCAUUCAGCUGCAUAGAUAAAGAUCUAUUUACUUCAAGAACAGUCAAACAUCUUGAUGCAUAAGUUCAUAGUUUUUAGCAAUAUAAUCCUUGUCCAACUCCUCUGUAUCACUAUCUGUAUCACCGGCA
rnacentral:lncRNA from 1 species